AAUCAUGAGUCAGUAUGUGCCAGCUGUAUUUAAGACCAAAGGCUUAAUGUAUCCACAUCUGGGGUAGGAGUCAGAUGUAAAACAAGCCCAACAUUGCCUUGGAAGUUCUAUAGGCAAUGGACUCUUUCGUGGCUAGAUUUGAAUCCCAUGUACAACAGAAGCUUCCAAAUGCGUUGUUUGGCCACAAUGAAGAAUCCUUAUUGAAAUAUCCCUUGAAUGGCAUAAUUGAAUAGACGUAAUUGCAAAGCUCUGCACCAUGUAAAAUUUCUUGUGUAUGUAGAUAAGAAGAACUGAGCAUGAGAGGGUGCUGAUAACAGGGGAUAUGGGCACCAUAUAACCUAAACAGACUUUGACACCACAUCAAAAGAGGGACAGAUACUGUAGAACAAUGACAGUGCCAUAGAGACCAGGUGAUGCACACAUGCAAAUUCAGUGGCCGUGCAGAAGUUUCAAGGUCAGGGCGAGGGAAAAGACAGACAGUAAAUGAGACUGCAGAGGCAACACUAACAAGCAAGGUUCUGCAGGGGCUGAACAUCACAUUCAUCAAACUUUGGAGUUUGCCCUCAGAGAUCCCCCUCCUGGAGCAGGGGAAUUCCUGAUCUAUCAACUUCUGUGUCAAUAUUCAGAACUACAGUCAGGAGGACCGGCUUGUUUUCCCUUCUUCUCCAUACUCAAGAUGACACUAUAAUGAGAGAGCUGGCUGCAAAAUCCCUUACAAGAGAUCAUGGUCAUCACAGUCAGAGAUAUGUCAAAGCACAGGCAGUGCAGCCUGGGUGGAAAUGUGGUUUGGAAAUUCAGAAGGAGUUUACCACUUUGAACAGAUGCAUUGUGUCAUUUCUUCUGGUGGUCAUUUUGACAUCGAAGCAUUAACCUUGGAUUUUGCUAUUUCUUUCUAAUUUUAAUUCCCUUCUAUUUGGCUUUAUUAUUAAUCCUGAGAAUGCUUUUUUUCUUUUUCAAAAAACACAAAUAUUUGGUAUUGAUCUUACCAGGGAGAACAGAAGAGUAUGGCCAUGUUACCUGAGAGGAGUUAGUGCUAUUGCAGCAUAGCAUGGAAAAAUUGAGGCUUCAUUUGUGCAGGGAGAGAAUUCAGUCUUCUUCAAAGCUGAUCUCUGCCUGAAAGCUAAUACCAGGAUCUCAUUUUAUCUGUAAUUGAAAUGUGAACUAAUGGAUUAAUAUUAUUAGUCUGUCACCUAUAGAAAAAAGAGAGUCUUCGGUGAUCAGAAAUCAACUUAAUAUACUCUAAGUACUUUUAACAUCUUACACCAUUUAAACCACACAGACACACGCAUGGGGUGAGUGUAAAAGCAAAUAGACACAUCAAGAAUAAGAAUCAGUUAAAUUCUAAGCCAGGGAUGUCCCAGAACGUUAAUAGAACUGUGGAAAUAAGGUCUCUUUUUAAUUACAUGUAUUGCUGGAAGGAUAUGAGCUUGGAAAGGCAGGGUACCACCACACGGAGAGAACCUAGCUAAAAAUUUAUCUAUCACAGAAAAUAGUAGGGCUGAGCAUGUGAACCUAGGAUGGACUCCAGGCC
rnacentral:lncRNA from 1 species